GGAGAAUGGAAAGCUAGGAUUAGGUUCUACGACCGGGAGUGAUGAGAUUAGAAGGUGUGAUGUCACAGGUUGCAAGGCAAAGGCAAUGGCUUUGACAAAAUACUGUCAUGCUCAUAUCCUCUCGGAUAAAAAGCAGAGGCUCUACAAGGGUUGCACCUUUGUAAUCAAGAGUAUGCAGUCAGGGCCGCUUCUUUGUUCAAAGCCUGUUUUAAGAUCAACUGUUCCCUGCUAUUGCCCUGGUCAUCUACAAAAAGGCGAAAAGUGUUUAGCUCGAGAUUUAAGAAAAGCAGGUCUUAACGUCUCCUCGACUAGUAAGCUUCGUCCCGAUUUCCAUGUAUUGGUAGCUGAAUACAUUCGCCAAAUACAAAGCAAAAGGAGAGCGACGAGAAAGGCUACUGCUGUUAAAAUUGAGAGUAACUGAGAAGGUGAAAACUAAUGAUGACCUCAGUUUGAAUGAG
rnacentral:misc_RNA from 1 species